rnacentral:lncRNA from 1 species
GGGACUCUUUAUUAGAUGGCUAUUUUAAACCCAAUAAAAUAUCAAUAAAUUUUAAUCAUAUUAGGACUAGAUUAGACUCAAAUAAAUAAAAAUUUAAAUCUGAUUUAGAGCUCAAUUUAUUUAGAUUAGAUGUCUCCUAAUUGGAGGAGGAGUCCUAAUCCAAUUAGACUCUUUCUUGGUGCUUGAGUCAAACUCAAUUUUUAAUCCUAAUCCUAUUAGAAUUUGAUGCAUCCAUGAAAAUAAAGAUUUCUAGUCUAAUUAAAAAUACAUACAUCCUAAUCUAAUUAGAAAUUGGGUCAAAUCCAAAUCCUA